rnacentral:lncRNA from 1 species
AGAGUCGAUGAUAGAGGAAAGCCUUACCUUCUCUUUCCUCCUUCAGCUUCUUCUUCAAGUGCUCCACUUUUGACAGUACCUUCUGAAUUCAGUCUGAGGUGUAGGCAGCUCCUGAGUCAUUCGAAUCCCCUCGAAAGUUAAGCCUUCAUCCCUCUGAGGUGUUUUUUCUCUGCGGCUUGAUCUGUCUGAGGUUCUAGUCC